rnacentral:tRNA from 1 species
GGGGAUGUUGCUCAGUAGUAGACCACUUGCUUAGUAUGCAAGAAGCCCUGUGUUCACAUCCCAGCACCCCA